rnacentral:rRNA from 1 species
UACGUAGGGUCCAAGCGUUAUCCGGAAUUACUGGGCGUAAAGCGUGCGCAGGCGGUUUUGUAAGACUGUCGUGAAAUCCCCGGGCUUAACCUGGGAAUGGCGAUGGUGACUGCAAGGCUAGAGUUUGGCAGAGGGGGGUAGAAUUCCACGUGUAGCAGUGAAAUGCGUAGAUAUGUGGAGGAACACCGAUGGCGAAGGCAGCCCCCUGGGUCAAAACUGACGCUCAUGCACGAAAGCGUGGGGAGCAAACAGG